AUGCAGUCGAACGAAGCAUUUAGAACGGAUUACUUCGGUUUGAAGUUCUUUAUGACUGAGUGGCGGACGGGUGAGUAACGCGUGGGUAACCUGCCUUGUACUGGGGGAUAGCAGCUGGAAACGGCUGGUAAUACCGCAUAAGCGCACAAUGUUGCAUGAUAUGGUGUGAAAAACUCCGGUGGUAUAAGAUGGACCCGCGUCUGAUUAGCUAGUUGGUGAGAUAACAGCCCACCAAGGCGACGAUCAGUAGCCGACCUGAGAGGGUGACCGGCCACAUUGGGACUGAGACACGGCCCAGACUCCUACGGGAGGCAGCAGUGGGGAAUAUUGCACAAUGGAGGAAACUCUGAUGCAGCGACGCCGCAUGAGUGAAGAAGUAAUUCGUUAUGUAAAGCUCUAUCAGCAGGGAAGAUAGUGACGGUACCUGACUAAGAAGCUCCGGCUAAAUACGUGCCAGCAGCCGCGGUAAUACGUAUGGAGCAAGCGUUAUCCGGAUUUACUGGGUGUAAAGGGAGUGUAGGUGGCCAUGCAAGUCAGAAGUGAAAAUCCGGGGCUCAACCCCGGAACUGCUUUUGAAACUGUAAGGCUGGAGUGCAGGAGGGGUGAGUGGAAUUCCUAGUGUAGCGGUGAAAUGCGUAGAUAUUAGGAGGAACACCAGUGGCGAAGGCGGCUCACUGGACUGUAAC
rnacentral:rRNA from 1 species